UGGGAACGAGAAGACACUCCUGGAGGCG
rnacentral:piRNA from 1 species